CGGCAGUGUUCCAGUCGACGUUUACAUUCUGAAAAGCGUAUAUACGGCGUUAGCGCGUAGCUAACUAGCUAGCUAACACUAUACACGGCGUUAGCACGUGUUAUUGCUUACUGUGCUGUAUUUUCUCGUUUUGGUAAAGCUAAACUGACCUGUGUAAUAAUGAAGCAACUUAAAUAAUGUUUUGUCAGGUAUUUUAUUUCAUAGGCAUAGUAAAUCCGAUUUAAAAAGAACAGAAGGCAUAAUAAUGUUUUGUCAUUUUUAAACUGUAUUAAGAUGUAGUUCAUGUAACAUUGAGAAUAUCCAUCAUUAAAACGUUUUUUUCUCUUAAUUUAAGGAGAGCUGCCACAAGAUCCACUGUGUUCCUGCUGUGCAACCACCAGUUUGGAAGUCCCUCAUCUUAUUGUAUUAUCCAUGUAUGUGGAAAUGUAAACUACAGAAAAACAACAACCGUCAAACAAUAAAAGAAAAGAUGGCAAAGACGUUUGGAUACCGUAGACAAGAAAUAGUGCAUAAGCAUUGAAGACAUGUUGACAAGAUGGCCAGCACUUUUUCAGAUGGAAGAGAUUAAUGCUGAGUUCAUGCGGGUGACAACAGUACCCUUGGAGACAAAGUUCUUAGCGCAGUUGGACAAGCACACGUCAAAACUGCUGGAGGUCAUCAGGAGCAAGGGAGGGCGUGUGAAAGAGCUGACCAAGGCAACUUUGCAGGUUUUAGAUGAGACCGUGGACAUCACAAUUAGAAGAGAGUGCAUCUUAAAAUCUUUGAUCUACCUGGGUGAACCUGUUCAUCAUCUCAUUAAAGACUGCCAGGUAAGGGCAUCUCCCUCAC